UGCAAGUCGAGCGGUAACAGGAGAAGCUUGCUUCUCGCUGACGAGCGGCGGACGGGUGAGUAAUACUUAGGAAUCUACCUAGUAGUGGGGGAUAGCUCGGGGAAACUCGAAUUAAUACCGCAUACGACCUACGGGAGAAAGGGGGCAACUUGUUGCUCUCGCUAUUAGAUGAGCCUAAGUCGGAUUAGCUAGAUGGUGGGGUAAAGGCCUACCAUGGCGACGAUCUGUAGCUGGUCUGAGAGGAUGAUCAGCCACACCGGGACUGAGACACGGCCCGGACUCCUACGGGAGGCAGCAGUGGGGAAUAUUGGACAAUGGGGGCAACCCUGAUCCAGCCAUGCCGCGUGUGUGAAGAAGGCCUUUUGGUUGUAAAGCACUUUAAGCAGUGAAGAAGACUCCAUGGUUAAUACCCAUGGACGAUGACAUUAGCUGCAGAAUAAGCACCGGCUAACUCUGUGCCAGCAGCCGCGGUAAUACAGAGGGUGCAAGCGUUAAUCGGAAUUACUGGGCGUAAAGCGAGCGUAGGUGGCUUGAUAAGUCAGAUGUGAAAGCCCCGGGCUUAACCUGGGAACGGCAUCUGAUACUGUUAGGCUAGAGUAGGUGAGAGGAAGGUAGAAUUCCAGGUGUAGCGGUGAAAUGCGUAGAGAUCUGGAGGAAUACCGAUGGCGAAGGCAGCCUUCUGGCAUCAUACUGACACUGAGGUUCGAAAGCGUGGGUAGCAAACAGGAUUAGAUACCCUGGUAGUCCACGCCGUAAACGAUGUCUACUAGUCGUUGGGUCCCUUGAGGACUUAGUGACGCAGCUAACGCAAUAAGUAGACCGCCUGGGGAGUACGGCCGCAAGGUUAAAACUCAAAUGAAUUGACGGGGGCCCGCACAAGCGGUGGAGCAUGUGGUUUAAUUCGAUGCAACGCGAAGAACCUUACCUGGUCUUGACAUAUCUAGAAUCCUGCAGAGAUGCGGGAGUGCCUUCGGGAAUUAGAAUACAGGUGCUGCAUGGCUGUCGUCAGCUCGUGUCCUGAGAUGUUGGGUUAAGUCCCGCAACGAGCGCAACCCUUGUCCUUAGUUACCAGCGGUU
rnacentral:rRNA from 1 species